AGAGUUUGAUCAUGGCUCAGAUUGAACGCUGGCGGAAUGCUUUACACAUGCAAGUCGAGCGGCAGCGCGGGGCAACCUGGCGGCGAGCGGCGAACGGGUGAGUAAUACAUCGGAACGUGCCCAGACGUGGGGGAUAGCCCGGCGAAAGCCGGAUUAAUACCGCAUGUGACCUGAGGAUGAAAGCGGGGGACCUUUGGGCCUCGCGCGUUUGGAGCGGCCGAUGGCAGAUUAGGUAGUUGGUGGGGUAAAGGCUUACCAAGCCUGCGAUCUGUAGCUGGUCUGAGAGGAUGAUCAGCCACACUGGGACUGAGACACGGCCCAGACUCCUACGGGAGGCAGCAGUGGGGAAUUUUGGACAAUGGGCGAAAGCCUGAUCCAGCCAUUCCGCGUGCAGGACGAAGGCCCUCGGGUUGUAAACUGCUUUUGUACAGAACGAAAAAUCUCUGGCUAAUACCUGGGGACCAUGACGGUACUGUAAGAAUAAGCACCGGCUAACUACGUGCCAGCAGCCGCGGUAAUACGUAGGGUGCAAGCGUUAAUCGGAAUUACUGGGCGUAAAGCGUGCGCAGGCGGUGAUGUAAGACAGUUGUGAAAUCCCCGGGCUCAACCUGGGAACUGCAUCUGUGACUGCAUUGCUGGAGUGCGGCAGAGGGGGAUGGAAUUCCGCGUGUAGCAGUGAAAUGCGUAGAUAUGCGGAGGAACACCGAUGGCGAAGGCAAUCCCCUGGGCCUGCACUGACGCUCAUGCACCAAAGCGUGGGGAGCAAACAGGGAUAGAUACCCUGGUAGUCCCCGCCCUAAACGAUGUCAACUGGUUGUUGGGAAUUUGCUUUCUCAGUAACGAAGCUAACGCGUGAAGUUGACCG
rnacentral:rRNA from 1 species